rnacentral:rRNA from 1 species
ACGGAAGGCAGCAGUAGGGAAUAUUGCACAAUGGGGGAAACCCUGAUGCAGCGACGCCGCGUGAGUGAUGAAGUAUUUCGGUAUGUAAAGCUCUAUCAGCAGGGAAGACAAUGACGGUACCUGACUAAGAAGCCCCGGCUAACUACGUGCCAGCAGCCGCGGUAAUACGUAGGGGGCAAGCGUUAUCCGGAUUUACUGGGUGUAAAGGGAAUGUAGGUGGUUUGGCAAGCCAGAUGUGAAAGCCCGGGGCUCAACCCCGCGGACUGCAUUUGGAACUGUUAAACUUGAGUGCAGGAGAGGAAAGUGGAAUUCCUAGUGUAGCGGUGAAAUGCGUAGAUAUUAGGAGGAACACCAGUGGCGAAGGCGGCUUUCUGGACUGUAACUGACACUGAGGCUCGAAAGCGUGGGGAGCAAACAGGAUUAGAUACCCUGGUA